rnacentral:rRNA from 1 species
AGAGUUUGAUCAUGGCUCAGGAUGAACGCUAGCUACAGGCUUAACACAUGCAAGUCGAGGGGAAACGAUAUUGGAAGCUUGCUUCCGAUAGGCGUCGACCGGCGCACGGGUGAGUAACGCGUAUCCAACCUGCCCAUCACUUGGGGAUAACCUUGCGAAAGUAAGACUAAUACCCAAUGACGUCUCUAGAAGACAUCUGAAGGAGAUUAAAGAUUUAUCGGUGAUGGAUGGGGAUGCGUCAGAUUAGCUUGUUGGCGGGGUAACGGCCCACCAAGGCUACGAUCAGUAGGGGUUCUGAGAGGAAGGUCCCCCACAUUGGAACUGAGACACGGUCCAAACUCCUACGGGAGGCAGCAGUGAGGAAUAUUGGUCAAUGGACGAGAGUCUGAACCAGCCAAGUAGCGUGCAGGAUGACGGCCCUAUGGGUUGUAAACUGCUUUUAUAAGGGAAUAAAGUGAGCCUCGUGAGGCUUUUUGCAUGUACCUUAUGAAUAAGGACCGGCUAAUUCCGUGCCAGCAGCCGCGGUAAUACGGAAGGUCCGGGCGUUAUCCGGAUUUAUUGGGUUUAAAGGGAGCGUAGGCCGGAGAUUAAGCGUGUUGUGAAAUGUAGACGCUCAACGUCUGCACUGCAGCGCGAACUGGUUUCCUUGAGUACGCACAAAGUGGGCGGAAUUCGUGGUGUAGCGGUGAAAUGCUUAGAUAUCACGAAGGACUUCGAUUGCGAAGGCAGCUCACUGGAGCGCAACUGACGCUGAAGCUCGAAAGUGCGGGUAUCGAACAGGAUUAGAUACCCUGGUAGUCCGCACGGUAAACGAUGGAUGCCCGCUGUUGGUCUGAAUAGGUCAGCGGCCAAGCGAAAGCAUUAAGCAUCCCACCUGGGGAGUACGCCGGCAACGGUGAAACUCAAAGGAAUUGACGGGGGCCCGCACAAGCGGAGGAACAUGUGGUUUAAUUCGAUGAUACGCGAGGAACCUUACCCGGGCUUGAAUUGCAGAGGAAGGAUUUGGAGACAAUGACGCCCUUCGGGGCCUCUGUGAAGGUGCUGCAUGGUUGUCGUCAGCUCGUGCCGUGAGGUGUCGGCUUAAGUGCCAUAACGAGCGCAACCCCUCUCCUUAGUUGCCAUCAGGUUAAGCUGGGCACUCUGGGGACACUGCCACCGUAAGGUGUGAGGAAGGUGGGGAUGACGUCAAAUCAGCACGGCCCUUACGUCCGGGGCUACACACGUGUUACAAUGGCAGGUACAGAGAGAC